GCUGAGGCGGGUUCAGCCCCGACAACAAAAGCUGAUAAACUGCGCUUCCUUUCAGAUUCCAAACACUGAUCCGGCGCAACAAGCAUGUGGCAGGGUGCCUGGUUCGUGGUGCUGUUUUUCAGCUGUGGAAGUGUGGCUCUUACCCUGAUCCAGCCCAAACCAUCGAUUACAGCACCUGUUGGGGAAAGCGUGCGCGUACGGUGUCAAGUGAAUGGAGGCUCGGUUAGCAACAGUAAUCCCCUUCACUGGUACCAACAGAAACCCGGCAAGCCGCUCGAAAGGAUACUCCACUAUGGAGAUAGCGUAACGCGGGAUUCGGGAUUCGGGACAUCCUUCAGCGCGGCAAAAAUUACAGAUUCCAAUCUCUAUCUGUCAAUCAAAGUUAACGCUGACAGCGCUGCCACCUAUUACUGCGCCUACUGGGUUUACACAGUAUGUAAUAGAUAA